rnacentral:rRNA from 1 species
CCUACGGGAGGCAGCAGUAGGGAAUCUUCCACAAUGGGCGAAAGCCUGAUGGAGCAACGCCGCGUGGGUGAAGAAGGUCUUCGGAUCAUAAAACCCUGUUGUUAGAGAAGAAAGUGCGUGAGAGUAACUGUUCACGUUUCGACGGUAUCUAACCAGAAAGCCACGGCUAACUACGUGCCAGCAGCCGCGGUAAUACGUAGGUGGCAAGCGUUAUCCGGAUUUAUUGGGCGUAAAGGGAACGCAGGCGGUCUUUUAAGUCUGAUGUGAAAGCCUUCGGCUUAACCGGAGUAGUGCAUUGGAAACUGGGAGGCUUGAGUGCAGAAGAGGAGAGUGGAACUCCAUGUGUAGCGGUGAAAUGCGUAGAUAUAUGGAAGAACACCAGUGGCGAAAGCGGCUCUCUGGUCUGUAACUGACGCUGAGGUUCGAAAGCGUGGGUAGCAAACAGGAUUAGAUACCCCAGUAGUC